AUUGAACGCUGGCGGAAUGCCUAACACAUGCAAGUCGAGCGGGGUGUAGCAAUACACCUAGCGGCGGACGGGUGAGGAAUACAUAGGAAUCUACCUUUAAGUGGGGGAUAGCCCGGGGAAACCCGGAUUAAUACCGCAUGAUCUCGCAAGAGCAAAAGCGGGGGACCGUAAGGCCUCGCGCUGAAAGAUGAGCCUAUGUCGGAUUAGCUAGUUGGCGGGGUAAAGCCCACCAAGGCGACGAUCCGUAGCUGGUCUGAGAGGACGAUUAGCCACACCGGAACUGAGACACGGUCCGGACUCCUACGGGAGGCAGCAGUGGGGAAUAUUGGACAAUGGGCGCAAGCCUGAUCCAGCAAUUCCGCGUGUGUGAAGAAGGCCUUCGGUUG
rnacentral:rRNA from 1 species